UACAUGGGGUGCAAACGUUGCUCGGAAUUAUUGGGCGUAAAGCGCGCGUAGGUGGUUACCUAAGUCGGAUGUGAAAGCCCUCGGCUUAACUGAGGAAGUGCACCCGAAACUGGGUAGCUAGAGUACUAAAGAGGGUCGCGGAAUUCCCGGUGUAGAGGUGAAAUUCGUAGAUAUCGGGAGGAACACCGGUGGCGAAGGCGGCGACCUGGGUAGAUACUGACACUGAGGCGCGAAAGCGUGGGGAGCAAACAGG
rnacentral:rRNA from 1 species